CGAGCAGUCACCUUCUCCACCGCCGGACCCUGCAGCCGAAGAAAAUAACCCGGGACCACGCGAACAGUCACCAUCUCCACCGCCGGACCCUGCAGUCGAAGAAGGCAACCCGGGACCACGCGAGCAGUCACCAUCUCCACCGCCAAACCCUGCAGCCGAAGAAGGCAACCCGGGACCACGCGAGCAGUCACCAUCUCCACCGCCGAACCCUGCAGCCGAAGAAGGCAACCCGGGACCACGCGAGCAGUCACCAUCUCCACCGCCGGACCCUGCAGCCGCAGAAGGCAACCCGGGAUCACGUGAGCAAUCGCCAUCUCCAAUGCCGGACUCUGCAGCCGAAGAAGGCAAUCCGGGACCACGUGAGCAGUCACCAUCUCC